GAGUUUCGGGGCCUGCCGGGGCAGGACGGCUUAGAGAUAGGGCGGGCGUCACUCUGCUCUUGCGACCUAGCCAGGUGUGAGGGAGUGACGGCCGCGCAUUCGCGGGAGGAGAGCGAUGGCUGAGAACGCCGCACCAGGUCUGAUCUCAGAGCUGAAGCUGGCCGUGCCCUGGGGCCACAUCGCAGCCAAAGCCUGGGGCUCCCUGCAGGGCCCUCCAGUUCUCUGCCUGCACGGCUGGCUGGACAACGCCAACUCCUUCGACAGACUCAUCCCUCUUCUCCCGCCAGACUUUUAUUACGUUGCCAUGGAUUUCGGAGGUCAUGGGCUCUCGUCCCAUUACAGCCCAGGUGUCCCAUAUAAUCUCCAGACUUUUGUGAGUGAGAUCCGAAGAGUUGUGGCAGGUGGCGUCGUGGGCGCAACGUUUUCCUGUACCUUCCCUGAGAUGGUGGAUAAACUUACCUUGCUGGACACCCUGCUAUUUCCCCUGGAAUCAAAUGAAAUGGAGAACUUGCUGACCUACAAGCGGAGAGCCAUAGAGCACAUGCUGCAGAUAGAGGCCUCCCAGGAGCCCUCGCACGUGUUCAGCCUGAAGCAGCUGCUGCAGAGGUUACUGAAGAGCAAUAGCCACUUGAGUGAGGAGUGCGGGGAGCUCCUCCUGCAAAGAGGAACCAAGAAGGUGGCCACAGAGAUGGGGUUUUGCCAUGUUGCCAAGGCUGGUCUCGAACUCCUGAACUCAAGCGAUCCUACUGCUUCGACCUCCCAAAGUGCUGGGAUAACAGGUCUGGUUCUGAACAGAGACAAGAGGCUCACCAGGCCAGAGAACAGCGCUGACUACGUCAGCAGGGAGCUGUGUGCGCAUUCCAUCAGGAAGCUGCAGGCCCACGUCCUAUUCAUCAAGUGAGUCUGGACCCAUCCCCUUCAGUCACCCCCAAGGAGACAUGGGCGCCAGGAGUCUCCGGGAGGGAGCCCUGGCAUGAGGCUGCAAGUUCUCUGCGUGUUGACCACAUCGCUGAGGCUCAAGAUCUUUUUUUGGGAAGCCCCCC
rnacentral:sRNA from 1 species